UGGGUGAAAGAAAACCAGCAAGUGGGUCCAAAGGAAUUGCAGAAGAACAUCAAAGAUAAGUUCAAGAUAGAUUUACCAUACAUGAGGUUGUUCAAUGGUAAACAACAUGCUAUGGAUUCUAUUUAUGGUAACUGGCAGGAAAGUUUUCAAUUGUUGUAUUCAUUCAAAGGUGAAGUGGAGAGGACAAGCCCAGGUAGUAUUGUAGAUAUUGAUCACCACACCGUGGAGUACACAUUCAGGGGAGUGACAAAGACCAAGGAAUGUUUUAGAAGUGUUUUUGUCUGCUUUGAGGCUUGUCGCCGGGGUUUUUUGGCAGGCUGCAGGCCUUAUUUGGCUAUUGAUGCCACUUUUCUCACAGGAAGGUUUAAAGGACAGUUAGUAGCAGCUUGUGCAGUUGAUGCACAUAGUUUUGUAUUUCCAGUUGCCUAUGGUGUGCUAGAGACAGAGUCUGAGGAGAGCUGGACUUGGUUUUUGCAUAAUCUCCGCCGGGCUAUUGCACAUCCCAAUGGGUUGGUCAUUCAUACAGAUGCCUGCAAAGGUUUAGAAGUGGCCGUGGACAAUGUGUUCCCUGGAGUAGAGCAUAGGGAAUGCAUGCGUCACCUUGCUGCAAAUUUCAUGAAGAAAUUCAAAGGAAAGGUGUAUACCGACAAUUUAUGGCCAGCAUCUUUGACAUGCAGUGUGAAGAAGCACAACUACCACUUGAGGCAGUUA
rnacentral:rRNA from 1 species